GUAAUAGUAGGCACUCUUUUUCACAAAUUGAGUUCAGUCAAUUUACUCUCAUCUUUUCGAGUUUCAAGAAAUGGCCAAGCAAAACGAGCCCAAAAUAGGUGUUGGUACUGAGCUAUCUCAAACCCGAAAACGAUCAGAGCGAAUUCAGAAACGUAAAUUACGCCUUGCUCCUUCUCCAGAUGGAGUGCCCAAAAUAAAAAUAAAAAAGAAGACUCUACCGAAAUCUUCUACUUCCAACGAAACUCCUAUUGCAAAAAAAGGAUCAGGAGUAAUAACCGAACAGAAAAACUGUAAAGUUUCACUGGAUCCAGCCAAAAACACCAAUGAACCUGUGCAAGUGAAAAAAAGAAACAAGAAAAAUGCCACAACUUUUGAAAUCGAUUGUACCCCUAUCGACAUGGAUGCCACCAAUUUGCGUAAAGACUUGUGGCAUCGAGCUAAAAAUGGCAAAAUCAACUCGAUCCAAAAUAUUCGAAUAAAACAGAAAGGAAAAAUCGUUUACAUAACUGCUCGCUGCUAUGUUCCUAAAAAAUGUAUUCGAUCGAAUCUUCAUUUCUUGAUAGAAGCUUAUUUAAAGCAAAAGAAAAUUGAUCGUCCAGUUCACCUAGUCGGCGAUAAAAACGUGUACAAGCUAGUUUAUAAAU